rnacentral:rRNA from 1 species
CCUACGGGCGGCAGCAGUGGGGAAUAUUGGACAAUGGGGGGAACCCUGAUCCAGCCAUGCCGCGUGUGUGAAGAAGGCCCUCGGGUUGUAAAGCACUUUCAGUGAGGAAGAACGCCUGGUGGUUAAUACCCAUCAGGAAAGACAUCACUCACAGAAGAAGCACCGGCUCAACUCCGUGCCAGCAGCCGCGGUAAUACGGAGGGUGCGAGCGUUAAUCGGAAUUACUGGGCGUAAAGCGCGCGUAGGUGGCUUGAUAAGCCGGUUGUGAAAGCCCCGGGCUCAACCUGGGAACGGCAUCCGGAACUGUCAAGCUAGAGUGCAGGAGAGGGAGGUAAAAUUCCCGGUGGAGCGGUGAAAUGCGUAGGGGUCGGGAGGGAUACCAGUGGCGAAGGCGGCCUUCUGGACUGACACUGACACUGGGGUGCGAAAGCGUGGGUAGCAAACAGGAUUAGAUACCCCAGUAGUC